GAAGCUUGCUUCUCUGAUGUUAGCGGCGGACGGGUGAGUAACACGUGGAUAACCUACCUAUAAGACUGGGAUAACUUCGGGAAACCGGAGCUAAUACCGGAUAAUAUUUUGAACCGCAUGGUUCAAAAGUGAAAGACGGUCUUGCUGUCACUUAUAGAUGGAUCCGCGCUGCAUUAGCUAGUUGGUAAGGUAACGGCUUACCAAGGCAACGAUGCAUAGCCGACCUGAGAGGGUGAUCGGCCACACUGGAACUGAGACACGGUCCAGACUCCUACGGGAGGCAGCAGUAGGGAAUCUUCCGCAAUGGGCGAAAGCCUGACGGAGCAACGCCGCGUGAGUGAUGAAGGUCUUCGGAUCGUAAAACUCUGUUAUUAGGGAAGAACAUAUGUGUAAGUAACUGUGCACAUCUUGACGGUACCUAAUCAGAAAGCCACGGCUAACUACGUGCCAGCAGCCGCGGUAAUACGUAGGUGGCAAGCGUUAUCCGGAAUUAUUGGGCGUAAAGCGCGCGUAGGCGGUUUUUUAAGUCUGAUGUGAAAGCCCACGGCUCAACCGUGGAGGGUCAUUGGAAACUGGAAAACUUGAGUGCAGAAGAGGAAAGUGGAAUUCCAUGUGUAGCGGUGAAAUGCGCAGAGAUAUGGAGGAACACCAGUGGCGAAGGCGACUUUCUGGUCUGUAACUGACGCUGAUGUGCGAAAGCGUGGGGAUCAAACAGGAUUAGAUACCCUGGUAGUCCACGCCGUAAACGAUGAGUGCUAAGUGUUAGGGGGUUUCCGCCCCUUAGUGCUGCAGCUAACGCAUUAAGCACUCCGCCUGGGGAGUACGACCGCAAGGUUGAAACUCAAAGGAAUUGACGGGGACCCGCACAAGCGGUGGAGCAUGUGGUUUAAUUCGAAGCAACGCGAAGAACCUUACCAAAUCUUGACAUCCUUUGACAACUCUAGAGAUAGAGCUUUCCCCUUCGGGGGACAAAGUGACAGGUGGUGCAUGGUUGUCGUCAGCUCGUGUCGUGAGAUGUUGGGUUAAGUCCCGCAACGAGCGCAACCCUUAAGCUUAGUUGCCAUCAUUAAGUUGGGCACUCUAAGUUGACUGCCGGUGACAAACCGGAGGAAGGUGGGGAUGACGUCAAAUCAUCAUGCCCCUUAUGAUUUGGGCUACACACGUGCUACAAUGGACAAUACAAAGGGCAGCGAAACCGCGAGGUCAAGCAAAUCCCAUAAAGUUGUUCUCAGUUCGGAUUGUAGUCUGCAACUCGACUACAUGAAGCUGGAAUCGCUAGUAAUCGUAGAUCAGCAUGCUACGGUGAAUACGUUCCCGGGUCUUGUACACACCGCCCGUCACACCACGAGAGUUUGUAACACCCGAAGCCGGUGGAGUAACCUUUUAGGAGCUAGCCGUCGAAGGUGGGACAAAUGAUUGGGGUGAAGUCGUAACAAGGUAGCCGUAUCGGAAGGUGCGGCUGGAUCACCU
rnacentral:rRNA from 2 species